GCUAGUAAUGGCAGGUCAGCAUACNGCCGUGAAUACGUUCCCGGGCCUUGUACACACCGCCCGUCACACCAUGAGAGUUGGGAAUACCCGAAGCCUGUGAGCUAACUUAUAGAGGCAGCAGUCGAAGGUAGAAUCAAUGAUUGGGGUGAAGUCGUAACAAGGUACC
rnacentral:rRNA from 1 species